rnacentral:rRNA from 1 species
UACGGGAGAGGCAAGCGUUGUUCGGAAUCACUGGGCUUAAAGCGCGUGUAGGCGGCCCCUCAAGUACCUUGUGAAAUCCUGCGUCUCAACCGCAGAAUGGCUGGGUAUACUGUGGGGCUCGAGGUAGGUAGAGGUGCCUGGAACUCUAGGUGGAGCGGUGAAAUGCGUAGAUAUCUAGAGGAACGCCCGUGGCGAAAGCGGGGCACUGGGCCUGUCCUGACGCUGAGACGCGAAAGCGUGGGGAGCAAACGGG